GAUGAACGCUGGCGGCGUGCCUAAUACAUGCAAGUAGAACGCUGAAGCUUGGUGCUUGCACCGAGCGGAUGAGUUGCAAACGGGUGAGUAACGCGUAGGUAACCUGCCUCUUAGCGGGGGAUAACUAUUGGAAACGAUAGCUAAUACCGCAUAAAAGUCGACAUUGCAUGAUGUUGACUUGAAAGGUGCAAUUGCAUCACUAAGAGAUGGACCUGCGUUGGAUUAGCUAGUUGGUGAGGUAACGGCUCACCAAGGCAACGAUACAUAGCCGACCUGAGAGGGUGAUCGGCCACACUGGGACUGAGACACGGCCCAGACUCCUACGGGAGGCAGCAGUAGGGAAUCUUCGGCAAUGGGGGCAACCCUGACCGAGCAACGCCGCGUGAGUGAAGAAGGUUUUCGGAUCGUAAAGCUCUGUUGUAAGAGAAGAACGAGUGUGAGAGUGGAAAGUUCACACUGUGACGGUAACUUACCAGAAAGGGACGGCUAACUACGUGCCAGCAGCCGCGGUAAUACGUAGGUCCCGAGCGUUAUCCGGAUUUAUUGGGCGUAAAGCGAGCGCAGGCGGUUAGAUAAGUCUGAAGUUAAAGGCUGUGGCUUAACCAUAGUACGCUUUGGAAACUGUUUAACUUGAGUGCAAGAGGGGAGAGUGGAAUUCCAUGUGUAGCGGUGAAAUGCGUAGAUAUAUGGAGGAACACCGGUGGCGAAAGCGGCUCUCUGGCUUGUAACUGACGCUGAGGCUCGAAAGCGUGGGGAGCAAACAGG
rnacentral:rRNA from 1 species